GGUUAAGCGACCAAGCGUACACGGUGGAUGCCCUGGCAGUCAGAGGCGAUGAAGGACGUGCUAAUCUGCGAAAAGCGCCGGUAAGGUGAUAUGAACCGUUAUAACCGGCGAUGUCCGAAUGGGGAAACCCAGUGUGACUCGUCACACUAUCAUUAACUGAAUCCAUAGGUUAAUGAGGCGAACCGGGGGAACUGAAACAUCUAAGUACCCCGAGGAAAAGAAAUCAACCGAGAUUCCCCCAGUAGCGGCGAGCGAACGGGGAGGAGCCCAGAGCCUGAAUCAGCAUGUGUGU
rnacentral:rRNA from 1 species